rnacentral:rRNA from 1 species
UACAGAGGUGGCAAGCGUUGUUCGGAAUUACUGGGCGUAAAGGGCGCGUAGGCGGCCCGUCAAGUCCCGUGUGAAAGCCCCCGGCUCAACCGGGGAACUGCACGGGAAACUAGCAGGCUUGAGUUCGGGAGAGGGAAGCGGAAUUUCGGGUGUAGCGGUGAAAUGCGCAGAUAUCAGGAAGAACACCCGUGGCUAAGGCGGCUCUCUAGUACGGUACUGACGCUGAGACGCGAAAGCGUGGGGAGCGAACAGG